UCUAAAGAGAGAGCCCCUGUACCUUCCAAAGGUUCCAUGGAAAUGCAAUAAACUUUUUGCAAUAAACUUGAUUUUUCUUCCYAGUACUGUGACUUUGAAUAAAUUUUACUUUUUUUUUUUUUUUCCAAAUAAUAUUGCUAAUGGGAAAGGGGGGAAGGUUUGCCUUCAGUGCAGUGCAUUACAACAGAGAUUAUAGUUCAGAAACUGGAGGUGAGUCAGUAAUGCCAGGCUGUUGCAGAAGAGGCAAACAACUUCUUGGGAUGCGUGAUGAGUCUGCAGGACAUGUUGAAGUAAUCCUUUCACUCUGUUGAAUGCUGUUGAGGUUUCAGUUCGAGUUUAAAAAUGGAAUGAUGCCCAGCGAAGAGACAAUCUCCUGGAAAGUCCCUAAGGAAUCAUGUUUCAGUGCCUAUUUUGAAUUUGUAGUAAAAAUAAGAAGUUUCAGUUCUUUUGAAACUCUAAACUUUUCCUCUUUCUGCUUUCAUCUGGUUUUAUAAAUGAACAACUUUACUACAUGCGUAUCGCCAUAGGGAGUCUUAGUCCAUCUGAGCAACCAACCUGCCUUAUAACACUGAGCUGAUGAAGUUACUUGACAAAAUCAAAAAAUGAAUGCUGUUAGGUGAUUUUCUUUUUUUUUUUUUUUUUUAACUCACAAUUUUGUUAAAUGCUGGACAAUAUUAUUUUUAAAAAAUACUUUCAAAUGAGUUAUGUAAAUACGUUUGCAGGUCAUCAUUUCUUACAGGCUUUCAGAUGAAAAGCUAAAUAGAUACGUUACCUGUAGUAGGUACAAAUUAAUUUUUUUAUGUUGUAUAAACUCUAUUUGCAUAUUAAUAGAAGAAAAUAGAAAAAUAAUUUAUUAAGUGCAUUCCUGUAAUUGUGGAGGCAGGAUCUUUGUACGGUUCUGGAACACUACAUAUAUGGUCUUACUCCAUUUUGAGAAGCCUUGUAAUUGCAAUGGGUGCCCAUGUUUAAAAAUCUUUUGUUACCUAACAAUCUGGAAUGUUUAAAAUUUUAGCGACUGGUAAAGUGUUUCUAAUUACAGUACAUCUGGUGUAGGUUCUCAAAAUCAACGCUUACAUAAUCAGUCUGUUUAAAAGUAACCCAUCAUUAGUCCAAAUUAUCUAACAUGGAAAACUAGGUUAAAAAAUGAAAACUUUCAUGUGCAUAGCUGCCAACUUAAGAAAGAGAUCAAAUUAAUUGCUAAAGUUUUCAGUUAGUGGAUUAGCCUACAAUAAUCUGCUAAACAAUAUGAAAGGUAAAGAUAUUUGCAUUGUUUUUUUGUUUUUUUUUUUCAAUUGUAUUAAUAAAUUUAUUCUAAAACUUAUUCUUGUCCUUAUA
rnacentral:lncRNA from 1 species